UACAGAGGGGGCAAGCGUUGUUCGGAAUUACUGGGCGUAAAGGGCGCGUAGGCGGCCUUCUAAGUCAGACGUGAAAUCCCCGGGCUCAACCCGGGAACUGCAUCUGAUACUGGAGGGCUUGAAUCCGGGAGAGGGAUGUGGAAUUCCAGGUGUAGCGGUGAAAUGCGUAGAUAUCUGGAGGAACACCGGUGGCGAAGGCGGCUCUCUGGACGGAUACUGACGCUGAGGCGCGAAAGCGUGGGGAGCAAACAGG
rnacentral:rRNA from 1 species